CUACGGGAGGCAGCAGUCGGGAAUUUUGGGCAAUGGGCGAAAGCCUGACCCAGCAACGCCGCGUGAAGGAUGAAGUAUUUCGGUAUGUAAACUUCGUAAGAAUAGGAAGAAUUAAUGACGGUACUAUUUGUAAGGUCCGGCUAACUACGUGCCAGCAGCCGCGGUAAUACGUAGGGACCAAGCGUUGUUCGGAUUUACUGGGCGUAAAGGGCGCGUAGGCGGCGUGACAAGUCACUUGUGAAAUCUCCGGGCUUAACUCGGAACGGCCAAGUGAUACUGUUGUGCUAGAGUGCAGAAGGGGCAAUCGGAAUUCUUGGUGUAGCGGUGAAAUGCGUAGAUAUCAAGAGGAACACCUGAGGUGAAGACGGGUUGCUGGGCUGACACUGACGCUGAGGCGCGAAAGCCAGGGGAGCAAACGGGAUUAGAAACCCCGGUAGUCC
rnacentral:rRNA from 1 species